GCCUAGUGGUUAGAGGAGGCAGGUAGCCUAGUGGUUAGAGGAGGCAGGUAGCCUAGUGGUUAGAGGAGGCAGGUAGCCUAGUGGUUAGAGGAGGCAGGUAGCCUAGUGGUUAGAGGAGGCAGGUAGCCUAGUGGUUAGAGGAGGCAGGUAGCCUGGUGGUUAGAGGAGGCAGGUAGCCUAGUGGUUAGAGGAGGCAGGUAGCCUAGUGGUUAGAGGAGGCAGGUAGCCUAGUGGUUAGAGGAGACAGGUAGCCUAGUGGUUAGAGGAGGCAGGUAGCCUAGUGGUUAGAGGAGGCAGGUAGCCUAGUGGUUAGAGGAGGCAGGUAGCCUAGUGGUUAGAGGAGGCAGGUAGCCUAGUGGUUAGAGGAGACAGGUAGCCUAGUGGUUAGAGGAGGCAGGUAGCCUGGUGGUUAGAGGAGGCAGGUAGCCUGGUGGUUAGAGGAGGCAGGUAGCCUAGUGGUUAGAGGAGGCAGGUAGCCUGGUGGUUAGAGGAGGCAGGUAGCCUGGUGGUUAGAGGAGGCAGGUAGCCUAGUGGUUAGAGGAGACAGGUAGCCUGGUGGUUAGAGGAGGCAGGUAGCCUGGUGGUUAGAGGAGGCAGGUAGCCUAGUGGUUAGAGGAGGCAGGUAGCCUAGUGGUUAGAGGAGGCAGGUAGCCUAGUG